CAGGCGAGGGCUGAAGAAAGUUCCGUAACGAUUCUGGAAAUCGGCACGCGCGCUCGCCGAAACCGAGAGCCACGGAGCAAUGGCGACGUCGUCCUGAACGAAAACGCCGGGAGUUGCAUAGGUGUAGGCGAAUCGCGGCACAUCGCGCGGCCGGUAAGCGUCCCGUUCGGCUGCCGCGCCGGCCACCCAGGUGUGGCGGCCUGCAGUUCCACGGAUGGUCGCUUCGCCAAAGAGCAUCUCAUGGCGGUCGCGUUCGCGGACUUCGCCGAAGCGGUGAUCGUGAUGCUGUGAGGAUGCGGCUACGCGAGCGGUGACU
rnacentral:misc_RNA from 1 species